rnacentral:lncRNA from 12 species
UGUUUGGUAAUCAGAAAAGCUGAUGAACAAAUUGGGAAAAAAAUUUACAGAAAGCGGAAAUGAAUAAGCAAUUACUGGAGAAUGGAUAACAAAAGAGGAGAUGAGGAAGUAGAGCAGGGAAGCCACACCUUUAUGCACAGGAUGAGCCUCUGCUGUGUUCUUGUCCAGUUCUUGCCCUCUGAGCAAGAAAGAACAACCUAGUGAACUUCCCCUGGCAGAGCACCAGACAGAGUUUAAGGGACUACCAUAGCUUUCAUUUUCUACCACAUAUCUUUACCUCCUCUUGCUCUGUUUUACCCUCUGAAUUUCCACUUUGCCUUUCAGUGUCAGAUGAUGAUGAUGAUGAUGAUGAUGAUGAUGAUGAUGAUGAUGAUAACAACGAUAAAGGCUGGUGGUGAUGAUGGGCCUUGCAGUCUUAGUGGAGAAAGCCUCCUGACUCUGAAGUCUUGUAAAGCAAGGUCCUUCUAACGCACUGGGACAUGAUCUAUCUGUCUCAAGGAAGGGCAUUACCAUCCUACCAAUUACUCAGAGAGGAUAUCAGGAUGUUGUCCUUGUCAAUGCAUCUAAUCAAUAACCAGGACCUGCAUUACUUCCCCAGUUCUUGAAUCCAUCCAUUUUGGUUUCUAUUCCAAUGUUACUUCCCUAAUCC